rnacentral:rRNA from 1 species
CCUACGGGAGGCAGCAGUGAGGAAUAUUGGUCAAUGGUCGGGAGACUGAACCAGCCAAGCCGCGUGAGGGAGGAAGGUACAGAGUAUCGUAAACCUCUUUUGUCAGGGAACAAAGACUGGGACGCGUCCCCGGAUGAGUGUACCUGAAGAAAAAGCAUCGGCUAACUCCGUGCCAGCAGCCGGGGUAAUCCGGAGGAUGCGCGCGUUAUCCGGAUUUAUUGGGUUAAAAGGGUGCGCAGGUGGUCUGUUAAGUCAGCGGUAAAAGCCCGGGGCUCAACCCGGGCCUGCCGUUGAACCUGGCAGUCUCGAGUUGGAGAGAAGUAUGCGGAAUGCGCGGUGUGGCGGUGAAAUGCAUAGAUAUCGCGCAGAACUCCGAUUGCGAAGGCAGCAUGCCGGCUCCACACUGACGCUGAGGCACGAAAGCGUGGGUAUCGAACAGGAUUAGAUACCCUAGUAGUC